rnacentral:rRNA from 1 species
GACGAACGCUGGCGGCGUGCUUAACACAUGCAAGUCGAACGGAAAGGCCCGGCUCUUGUUGGGUGCUCGAGUGGCGAACGGGUGUGUAACACGUGAGUAACCUGCCCUUGACUUUGGGAUAACUUCAGGAAACUGGGGCUAAUACAGGAGAGGAGCUCCUGCAGCAUGGGGGGGGAUGGAAAGUUUCGGCGGUUUGGGAUGGACUCGCGGCUUACCAGCUGGUGGGUGGGGUAGUGGCUUACCAAGGCUUUGACGGAUAGCCCGCCUGAGAGGGUAGCCGGCCACAUUGCGACUGAGGUACGGCCCAGUCUCCAACUUGGGGCAGCAGGGGGGAAUCUUGCACAGCGGGGGCAAGUGUGGUGCGACAACGCCGGGUUCGGGAUGACGGUCUUCGGGUGGUGAACCGCUUUCGCCUGAUACGAAGCGUGAGUGACGGUAAUGGGUAAAGAAGCACCGGCUAACUACGUG